AAACAUUUUCCCUAAAAACCCCCACAAGUAAAAGGAAAAAAAAAAGAAAAAAAAAAGGAAAAUCAAAACAAGCAAUUGCUUAAUCCCCAUUUUAGACGCCUCACGCUCACCCUCUUGCCAUGGGUAGGUGCCUGUCUGUCCGUCACGCUCACUCACAGGACCAACAAGAAGAAGCAGCGAUUCUUCCCCAACUCUUAGCUCCUCGCUUCGAUUUCGUCGCCGAUCCUUCUCCUUUACCCCUCUGAAUUUCCAACUUUACCCCGCACAUUUCCAGUAAGUCCGUUGGCUAUUCUCUUCGCCCCUCCCUCUCUCCAUCCCAAUUUCUUUCCCUCGAAACAAACAGAUAACACAAUAUAUAUGAUAUGUUAUGCAUGUUGAUUCGCUCGAGAUAAAAUUAGAUGGGGCACAAAAAGAAGAACGCUGCUCCACGCUCUAAACGACCGUCGUCGCAGCCGCCGCCGGUGGCUGCCACAACGGUGGUGGAUGUCAUUAACGAUUCAGCUGAACGCGAGCUGACUGGGAAUAAUGCCAAGAUCGAGGUUGCGGCUGUUGCCGUUGAAUCUGACGCUUCGUCUUCCUCGUCCUAUGCGGCGGUUAAGAUUGAGUGCGAGCGAGCCCUAACGGCUCUCCGACGUGGCAACCACACGAAAGCGCUUCGGUUGAUGAAAGAAUCGUGUACUUGUCACGAGAACUCGGCUCACGCGGCCUUAAUCCACCGCGUUCAAGGCACGGUAUGCGUGAAAGUGGCUUCCAUCAUCGACGACCCUACCGCCAAACACCGGCAUUUGAAAAAUGCAAUCGACUCGGCAAAAAAAGCCGUGGAAUUAUCUCCCAACUCGAUCGAAUUUUCUCAUUUUUAUGCUAAUUUACUGUAUGAAGCGGCCAACGAUGGGAAAGAGUUUGAAGAAGUGGUUCAAGAAUGCGAACGUGCGUUGGCCAUUGAGAAUCCGGUGGAUCCCGCCAAAGAAAGCUUACAAGAAGAGAGUCAACAGAAAAUAUCAACGGCGGAGGCAAGGAUUUUGCACGUGCAAAGUGAGCUUAGGUCGUUAAUUCAGAAAUCGAAUAUCGCUUCUAUUUCUACGUGGAUGAAGAAUUUAGGGAAUGGAGAAGAGAAGUUUAGGUUAAUUCCGAUUCGGAGAGUAACUGAGGAUCCAAUGGAGGUUAGGUUAGUGCAAACGAGAAGGCCUAAUGAGAUUAAGAAAGCUACAAAGACUCCGGAAGAAAGGAGGAAAGAGAUUGAGGUUAGAGUUGCUGCUGCUAGGUUGUUGCAGCAGCAGAAAUCUGAGGCAGCUUCUUCAGCACUGUUGCAAAGCGAGGGAGAGAGGAAUGGACUCGAUUUGACAUCAGGAAGUGGACAAAGAGGAGGAGUGGAAAGGAGGAGGAAGAUUGGUUCUACUGCUGAAAGGAAAGAUUGGGUUCGAUCCUUUUGGAAUUCAAUGAGCGUUGAUUCAAAGAAAGAUUUGCUUAGGAUUAGGGUUAGUGAUCUCAAGGAGUAUUUUGGUUUGUUGAAAGAUGGGUUGGCGAGUGAGGUUUUAUCAGAGGCUUUAGCAUUUGCUGAGCUUAAUAAGACUUGGAAAUUUUGGGUUUGUUGUCGGUGUAGUGAGAAGUUUGCAGUUUCAGAGUCUCAUAUGCAGCAUGUUGUUCAGGAACAUAUGGGUAACCUCAUGCCAAAGAUGCAGACCGUUUUGCCACAGAGUGUUGACAGUGAGUGGAUUGAGAUGCUCCUUAACUGUUCUUGGAAUCCUUUGGAUAUUUCUGCUGCUGUUAAAAUGAUUGGGAAUGAGUCUAAAUGCCGGGACUCAGAGUUUUCCGAGGAUUUCUACUCAGAUAACCAUAAUGAGGAGUGUGAUGAUUGCUUCAAAGAUGCAUGGAGUUCAUCUCCUGAGAAGGAACAUUUGGGGGAUCAAUACAAUUGUACUAGCGUAGAGGGCAAAAAUUGUGACAAAGUUUCUAGCAUUGAGUGCAAAGAAUGUGAUGGAAACCAGGGUUCUGUAGCAUAUCCCCAUGUGGAUAGUUGGCCAACAGUGGAUGAUGCUGAGCGCGCAAAGUUGCUUGAAAGAAUUCAUGCUACUUUUGAACUGCUUAUUAGACAUAAGUACCUUGCUGCAAGCCAUCUUAACAAGGUGAUACAAUUCACAAUGGAUGAGUUGCAGAGUUUGGUCUCUGGAUCUCAACUUCUGAAUCAUGGUGUAGAUCAAACUCCCAUGUGCAUCUGUUUUCUGGGAGCUAUGCAGCUUAGAAAAAUCCUCAAAUUCUUGCAGGACUUAUCUCAUUCUUGUGGUUUGACUAGAUACUCUGAGAAGACCGCCCCUGUGGAUGAUGUGAAUCGAGCCAGUCAGAUUCUUGAGGUUAAAGAGAAGAUUGUUCUUAAUGGAGAUGCUUCAUGUCUCCUCCUGGAUGAACGUUUAUUGCCUGAUGUGGCAAUCCAAGAGGCUGCUCUUGCAAAUGCUAACGGUAGCAAUAAUUAUGGGUUUGUACAGGAUGCUGAUGCUCUGCUGUCCUGGAUCUUUGCAGGCCCCUCAAGUGGGGAUCAGUUGGCAUCAUGGAUACGCAAAAAAGAAGAGAAAACACAGCAAGGACUGGAAAUUCUUCAGAUGCUGGAGAAAGAGUUUUAUCACCUACAGAGUCUCUGUGAGAAAAAAUGUGACCAUAUAAGCUAUGAGGAAGCAUUGCAGGCUGUGGAGGAUCUCUGUCUUGAAGAAGGUAAGAAGAGGGAGACUGCAACUGAUUUUGUUUAUCGAAGCUAUGAAUCUGUCCUCAGAAAGCGAAGAGAGGAACUUAUUGAGAGUGAGAAUGAUGUUAUGUUCCUCAGCAGUAGAUUUGAGUUAGAUGCUAUAUCAAAUGUUUUAAAAGAAGCAGAAGCACUGAAUGUCAAUCAAUUUGGCUAUGAGGAUACUUAUGCUGGUGUGACUUCUCAGUUAUGUGACUUGGAAUCUGGUGAAGGUGAUGACUGGAGAACUAAGGAUUAUUUGCAUCAAGUGGAUACCUGCAUAGAAGUUGCCAUUCAGAGGCAGAAGGAACAAUUAUCACUAGAGCUGAGCAAAAUUGAUGCACGAAUUAUGCGAAAUGUUACUGGGAUGCAGCAGUUGGAACUCAAACUUGAGCCUGCAUCUGCACAUGAUUAUCGAUUAAUAAUGCUGCCUUUAGUGAAGUCAUACUUGAGGGCACACUUGGAGGAUCUGGCUGAGAAAGAUGCCACUGAGAAGUCUGAUGCUGCAAGAGAAGCUUUUUUAGCUGAGCUUGCAUGUGAUUCUAAGAAGGGUAGUCGGGGGGGAAGCGAUAAUUCGAGACAUGCUCAGGAGAAAAGCAAGGAUAAGAAAAAGAACAAGGAGCUCAGAAAAUCCAAGGAUUCAAAGGCUUCUGGUGCAAAUGAGCAGCAUAUGCUUAAUGAUGAGACUGCUGAGCAAGUUUCUUCUGCAGUUGCUUCUGAUGGUGACCAUCUGGAUUCUGAAGUUGUUUCUGUGAAUAGUGAUGACUUAAAACAACAAGAAGAGGAAUUUAGACGAAAAAUUGAGCUUGAAGCAGAGGAAAGAAAGCUUGAAGAGACUUUGGAGUAUCAAAGACGGAUUGAGAAUGAGGCUAAGCAGAAGCACCUUGCCGAGCAACAUAAAAAAACUAAUCAAGUAUUUGAAGAGAUAGCAGCAAAUGGAUUGCGUGAUGCUUACUGGGAAGCCAGUGAUCUAGAUAUUCAGGAACAUUUGGCAAUAAGUAACAGAGUCACGGACAAUUUGGAUAGCAUACCACUGAGCACUGCAAAUGGUUCAGCUGUGGCAGUGACUUCGAAUACUUCUGGCACUUACGCAAAAUUUAAACAAGGACUAUCUAAUGGUGCAGUCCCAGAGGAUGCUCUUUUUCCUGGUGAUCGACGGGCAGGAAGAAGAGGUAGACGACAUAAGAGUUCCAACAAAUUUCUUGAUGGAAAGUAUCAAGUCAUUCCAUCUGAAAAGGAAAGCAUUCAAGUUGGAAGCUCUCAUGGCAAUGUGGAAGAGCAAGUUAGAUACGUUGAUGGUUUCCCCAUGGACAGUGUUGCUCCUAUCUCUGUAGAAGGUGGUACAAAGACUUUAAGACAACUGCAAGCUGAGGAAGAUGAUGAAGAAAGGUUCCAAGCUGACCUUAAGCAGGCUGUUCGCCAAAGCCUUGACACAUACCAAGCACAACAAAAAAUGCCCUUGGGUUCAAGUUUGAGAACAGCACCAAGGGUACCUUUGCAAGUAAAUAACCACGGUGUCUCACCAAAUGAGGUCUCAAGUGAAAAUUUGAAUGAAACUGAUGUGCUUGGUACAGGCCUGCAGAAUGAAGUUGGUGAAUACAAUUGCUUUCUGAAUGUUAUAAUACAGUCCUUGUGGCAUUUGAGACGGUUUCGUGAUGAAUUCUUGCGGAGAUCAACAUCAGAUCAUGUUCAUGUGGGAGAUCCAUGUGUUGUCUGUGCACUAUAUGAAAUUUUCUCUGCCCUGAACAUUUCAUCUACUGAUGCACGGAGAGAACCAGUUGCCCCUACAUCACUUAGAGUAGCUCUUAGCAACUUGUAUCCAGAUAGUAACUUUUUCCAAGAGGCUCAGAUGAACGAUGCUUCUGAAGUAUUGGCUGUAAUAUUUGAUUGCCUUCAUCGAUCUUUUACUUCUGGUUCGAGUGUUUCUAAUGCUGAUUCUGCGGACAGCAACUGCACAGGCUCUUGGGAUUGUGCAAACAGUGCUUGUAUGGUGCAUUCCCUUUUUGGAAUGGAUAUCUUUGAACGAAUGAAUUGCUACAAGUGUGGUGUGGAGUCCAGACGUUUGAAGUACACUUCUUUCUUUCAUAAUAUAAAUGCCAGUGCGCUGCGAACUAUGAAGAAAGCUCCUUUGAUGAGCUUUUAAAUCUUGUUGAGAGGAACCAUCAGUUAGCUUGUGAUCCAGAGGCUGGUGGCUGUCGGAGGCUCAACUGUAUCCAUCACAUUCUCUCAAAUCCUCCGCAUGUUUUCACAACAGUUCUUGGUUGGCAGAAUACAAGUGAAUGUGCUGAUGACAUAGCAGCAACACUGGCUGCCUUAAAUAAUGAAAUAGAUAUCAGUGUCCUUUAUCGUGGUCUAGAUCCAAAAAAUAAGCAUCACCUAGUCUCGGUGGUUUGCUAUUAUGGGCAACAUUAUCAUUGUUUUGCCUAUAGUCAUGAUCAUGAGAGAUGGAUAAAGUAUGAUGACAAAACUGUAAAGGUAAUUGGUGGCUGGGCUGAUGUUGUUAAAAUGUGUGAACAAGGGCGCUUGCAACCACAGGUUCUUUUCUUUGAAGCUGUAAAUUAACAAAUUUUGGUGGAAUCUUGUCACAUUAUUUAUACACCGGAUAGCAUUGAGCUUAAAAAGGGUUUGGCAUCUGAUUGCUGUUGGUGGCAAGGUGUUGUUCAUAGUCACAUUGCAGCUUACACCCAUUGCAGUUUAUACAGUAAAAGCAUGCAAAAUUCGUUCAACAGGAAGUUUGAGAAGUUUUGUUACAAAAACAGAGAUGUGAUAUAAAAAUGAAGAGUUUUGAAAUUCAACGAGUUUUUGGUAGGAGAAAGUGGUCUUUUGAGGGAAGAAAUGAUGUAAGGAAAGAGAUUUUGUUUUAAAUUAUGAGGAAAUCAGAUAAUGGAAGAGCAUGAAGUUGGUUUAUUGAUACUCCUGCCUCGAAAUACUUCCCAAUUAAUAAGGUGGAUUUGGUUGAGAAAAAUUGUAUGUGAUUGGCAGGCCAAUGAAUGCAUUGAAGAUCAUUGCCAGGAGGAUAUAGCAAUUGUAAGUGGGGGAAGUUAGUAGAUUCAGAAACUGUGCUAGAUUGUCUUUCUGUCCAAAAUUAUUUCCCCCAAUAUUUGACAGAGGUUCUGUAUAGAUCAACAUCAGGGGACCUUCCCUAGGGUCUUCUACUCUUCAAAUUCCAGCUUAUAGUGAAGUUUUGUUGUCAACCUGAAUCCUGAUGCUGAUGCUGAUGGGGUUACAUACAUACAUACAUACAUACAUACAUACAUUACAUAGUGAUUUUUUGUCGGAUCUCAAGAAAAAUUCUAGUUACUUGCAA